ensembl:lncRNA
AAAAACAAACACUGGGACCUGGCGGCCAGAGUCCUCUGGCAUGCAGAGAGGAUUCUAAAUGGUGCGUUCACACCAGAAGCGAAAAUUCGCUUCGCUUUUGGUGUGAACGCACCAUAAUUAACAGUUGCAUUACUCAGAAGGGAAUUGUGAGCUUACAAUCUUGCUGAAAAUAAACUGCUGCACUCUUUGAAAUAAUGUUUUUCCAUUAGUAUGGUCAUUUUCAAGAGGGUUUACUGUCAGGGCCAGGUCCUGUAAAUCCCUUCUUGGUAAUGGUAAAAAUGAAUCAACUCCAUGCAUAGCAGUUUGUGCCGAAGGCUCAUUAGAGAUCUGUUCUAAUGCAGUGUCUGGGUUGUGGAGGUUCUGCAGAUGGCUGUCCAAUGUAAAAAGCUGCAGAGGGGUUCGGUUUCCCUCUGAGGACACUGAAUGGUUAUUAAAUGCAGCCCAAAAUUCACUAAAUGUACGAUUAAUUCUCAGAAUGUACACCUAAUGAAGAGCAAAUAUGUCUGUCUCAUUGUCCAAGUCUAGCACAUUCAUUGACUCCAGUUCAUAAAAAAUGGGUGAAUAAACAUGACUGCAAUUCUUAUUUAAGUCCCGGUUAAAACGUUCAAUACGCUGGUUAUGUACAGAGCUUCCUGUUAAAACAGAUUGUUCUCCUCUGCUUUCCCGCAUAUCCUCCCAAACAAGAACAUUCUCUCCCCCCAGGUCAGUUCUAAUAUGCAGGGGUCUGCCAAACUGUCUUAUUGCUGUACAACGGUUUCAGACCGAUUGUUGUUGGAGCACUGGAGAAACAUGAGCAUCCUGCUGUAGCCAUCCAUGGCACCAUGUUCAACUAAUUUCCAUCUUAUCAGUUUAUGAUUACCAUCCAGGUGCCAGAUAAAAUUUGGACAUGGCACAGAAUAAACACGUCUGGAUAUCGUUGUUCUCCUCCUAGACUCAACACCCCCAGAAUCAACCCUCUUAAUUGACUCUCUUAACCUCUUUCUUUGCACCACAAUGUCCCUGGAACGCAGAUGUCCAUUAAGCAUGACUUCUCCCACAUGAGGAUGUUCUGUUUUAAUCUGAGAUACUGCAGAAUCCAAUUCCUCAUCACUAAAUUGUACAAACUUUGUUCUUGAGAUGUUGUGCUCCCUCAUGAGUUUGUACAGGGUUGGUCUGGAGGAUGGAAGCAACUUCUGUCAGUGUGGUCUUUAAUGACAGCAAAUGUUCGAUAUCUUCUUUGGAAAUGGAGCUCUGGUGUCCAUGGUAACCAUCCUGGAAGCACAACAAAGUGGAUACUUGACACAUAAUACAGCUUAGAAUUACAGUCAUCCACUUUUUACUUACAAUACUAAGAUUUAUGUUCCAAUGACCAUGUUUAAACAAUUUAAAUUUGGACUGAACCAAUACACAAACAUUCUCAAUCUAAUUUGUAAUGAACUUAAUGUAUAUUGCCAAUUGACUCUUGCAAUUGGAUAAAUGGAAUACUUCUGACAAGAUAUGACCUAGUAGCAUCCUUGAGUAUUGGCAGGUGAUAGAAUGUGUCAACAUAAUGAUAACCGGUUGAUGUAAUUCAGAUUUGCAGUUGCAGCCACAUAUUACACAAGGACACAGGACCCUGUUUGAAAACCACUGUAAAAUAACAUGCUUACAACAAAUGACAGGUCUUAAACAAACCCACCGUCCAUGUAUAUAUAUUGAGGAUACUUUCAAUUUCCCAGAUCCCUGUCUCUCUCUCUGUACACUGUUUUAUCAAGCAUCAUUGCGCUGUCCCCCCAACCAAAAGGUUUUGAUAACAAAACAGGCUGGGUAGCAGACCCCUUAUAUCUCAUGAAUUCAAAACUUAUCGAUCUUAGUGAUGUGGUUGCUGUACUCAGGGAUAACACCACUGCGGAUACCUAAACAAAUAAAAACAUCACGUUUAAUGCAGUGCUCCAAAUGAGAAUAACAUUUGCUAGUUCCUUUAUAAUAAUCCACAACACCUAAAAGACUACAUAAAAUGUAUAUUUACAGUCACCAAAUCCUAAGCUCCUAUAAGUAUGUAACGCGCCUUGUUUUAUCAAAAGCCUCCAUCUGUCACUUGUGUUUGCGCGUCUAUGUUGCCUGGUAACAAGCGUAUGCCAAGAGAGGAAAAUGAUACGUGCAUUUAAGAACCCUGCCAUAAAUUUAUCAUUUUAGAAAACUGAGCAGGCACAGGUCCACAUGGAUCUCUGCUAGCCGACCGUCUGCCGAACAGUCCUGAGCUGUUAAACAGGUCUUCGUCUGUACGCCUGGUUGAACCGGCGGCGCAUAACUCUCUGAAGAGGAUUCAGCCUGCUAGCUAAACUGAAACAGCUAAGCUAAACCGAGGAGGUGCACACGCAUAGACGCCGAGGCGUAACUUGAAAUAGUUGAGGCAGGCCGUGGUUGGUGCACAAGAACCAUCGCUGCCACCAAUGUAACCGAGCAUUAUGGGCUCGUGGAUGAUGCACUCGUUCUCCCAUCAACUACCAGUUUUCCCAUAUGGCAGCACUGAAGGGACAUAGUAACCUUAUAUCAAACGUAACGCACUGAACAUGAGACAGUUCAGUUACACUACAAUAAAAAAAAGAAAUAGACAGAGAUAUAUAAAAUUCCACCCGCCAAAGUGGCUGAUGAGAGUGACCGCUUUACCCGCCCCAGCCGAAAUCUACCCGCGCUUGUCGGGUGCUAAUUUCAAGCCCUGCCGUUAAUCCUUAUGGUAGCUUUGUGGGUUUCAACAUGGCUAGCUAGCAUAGUUAGCUAGCUAACUAGCCCCCCACUUCCCCCAUUAAAAAAACAACCGUAUUUACGAACUUACCGGAGGCAAUGAUGUGGUGUCUGUUGAGUUUGUUGUUUGACAUGAGGAGCAAUAUUUUCCUAAUGUCAAGUGCUGAUACAUCGCUAUUCAUCCGGUUACUUCAAUUCAUUUUAUUUUGUAUAGCCCAUAAUCGCAAAUUACAAAUUUGCCUCAGAGGGCUUUACAGUCUGUACACAUACAACAUCCUCUGCCCCGAAACCCACCAUCGGCACAGGAAAAACUCCCCAAAAAAUGAAAAAAUCCUUACAAGAGGGAAAAAAGGGAAGAAACCUUAGGGAGAACGUCAGAGGAGGGAUCCCACUCCCGGGAUGGACAGACUACAAUGGAUGCCAUGUGUACAGAAUGAACAAUGUAUAAUACAUGCAAUUCCUAUGACAGAAAUGAUUCAAGUAAUUGUGAGUAGUAAGCCAGGCGCACAGCAGGACCACUGCAGGGGCAACCACCAUCCACAGACGCCCGUGGGGAGGGAGAGCACAGAGACUUUAGGAGAGGGUAAUGUUGUUUUAUGAGUACAGUAAUAUGAUUAAUAUCUAAAAUAAUGAUGAUGAUGGCAGCAGCAGGCGUCAGCAUGGCCACGGUAGGUGUCAGGACCAGGGUCCAGAAGGAACUAUGAUCUACGGAGACCUGCUAGGGGAGAAAACACAAAAAACUCCCGGAAAGAAGCUGAAUUAGUCAUGUGCAUUAAUAAAACGUGAAUUAUGGUAGAACGAGAGCGUGAGAGAGGAGCUUGGUGUGUCCUAAUUCCCCCGGCAUUCUAAGCCUAUAGCAGCUUAACUAAGGGCUGGUCCGGGCUAACCUGAGCCAGCCCUAACUAUAGGCAGAAUCAAAGUGGAAAGUUUCAAGUUUUACUUUAAAAGAGCUGACCGAAUCUGUGGUUCCUUUUGUGUGGCUUGAUGAGUGUGACCAUGCCUUUAACUCUGCUAAGUCUCACCUUUGUAGUGCUGGCUGCGCCGGACAUUACUCGGCCUUUCCAGCUUGAGAAGUAUAAUGGCAAUCAGCGCUUGAUGCGCUGGGCCCUUUUGGCCCAGGGUUACAACAUCUGCAUCAAGCACAAUAAGGGAGCUGGCAACAUUGUGGCUGACGCGCUGUCCCGUGGGUGAGACCACAUUUGAGUAAUGAAAUUGAGUUUCUGGUUAGACUGGUGGAUCAGUAGUGAUGUAUUAAAUGGUGAUUAUGUAUAAUCAUGCAUAUGGGGGAGGAGUUUCCUCUUAUGGGAGGGGGUGUUACGUGUCUUGUUUGUGUUUGCACGUGUGUGUGUGUGAGAUUUUCAUCAGUUGUGCUGGCGACGUCACUCCUGGAGUCGAUCAGCAUGGGAAUAAAUGGCGGUGCCAAGCCAGGGUGGGGUGUUGCUUCAGUGGAAGCCAGAGCGGAACCAGAGAGGUUGUGAGGUGCUGCCGUGAGGAGGUUUUGGGAACCAGUAAAGAAGGAGCCAUACACCGUACUAGUCUUCCUUUUGGAGAUUGUUUUCAGUUGCCUUGUGUUGUUUUCAAUCAUUAAAUAUCCUGUUUUGCCGUUGGUCCAGAUCUCCCGGGUUUAUUAUUUUAACUUGUUUACGUCCUCCACCAUUAGACACUUUAGGGACGUAACAAUGCUCGAUGCUUAUUCUCACUUUGGUUUUGGCCAUGUUUGUCUGAGAGAAAUUAUACCUGUAUCAGCGUCUUCCUCUUUGUCUGGGCUUAUUCUUCGAUGUCUUGCUUUCUUUGUUUACCCCUUGCUAUGCUGAGAAUGCACCGCCAUAUGCACAAUUCUGGACCAAUUUGCAUAUUGUAUUUUAUAACUUGUUGGAGUUGUAUUUGACAUGACGGACAAGGAGAAGUAUUAAUUUAUUGCUCCAACCUCAUCGCUACGCUUGAGGAAAUGGUGGACCAUAGACAAAAAACAACUUGAUCCCGUUUGGUGAUUCCAGAAACCAUGUUUAUACAUUUAAAAUUGUAUUUUGCUUGUUAUAAUGUUGUCAUUUUUAGAAAAAUGUAAUGUUUGCAAACAGGAGUUGACACACAUACAAGUCGUGCACCAAGCCUACUCAAAAGGUUUUCAUCCCCGGAGCAGGAAUAUGUAGUUGCAAGAUAAACAUGCUAAAACAGGGCGGGGGCUCUGGGCAAUACCCAAGUGCGGGUUGUCGACCUUGGAUGGAGACUAUCAUCUUUGGCACCACAAGAUUAUAAACAAUGACGCACAAAACAUCUUGCAUUAGCAGGUGACCCAGAGCACAAUGUGCCUCUAUGUGGAGCAGCACAGACUUUCUAUCUUACUGAGGUGGAACAUUAUUGCAGUUAUUCCAACAGUCGUCAUAAAACUGAAGCGUAUAAUAGAAUACUGAAGUAAUUGACAUGUGACAAGAAGCUAUGAUGCAGUUGUUUCUAUCCCAUUAACUAACCCCCUUUACCUUCUGACUGAUUAUAAAAGAGUCUCUGGAUAAAUCACAUUUAGUAAGAUGAUGUGAUAUUUGUGCAUGGUUAUAACAAAGUUAUCUAGCUAGCAAACCAGCCAAGCGAUGUGUAAAACACUAAUACUAGAGAAAAACUAAAGCAUUGACUUUUAAUUCAUAGUACGAUUCAAGAAUACAAAAUUAAAAAAACUUCUUUCCCCAUUAACCAUGCUACCAACCAUACCAUUUUUUUCUAAAAUACGUUGUUGUGGGUUACUGUCGGAAAAACUUCAAUAAUGUCAUAGUUAAUAGGGCCUUUAGUACAACACUUCUGUAGGUCAUGUCAGCCGACUACAUCUGCACUUUAUGCACGCUCCCCAAACUCUGUAGCCCAAGGAAAUUAACCACAAGUCAUUGCAAUGUGACGUCAAAAACGGGAAAAUCAGUGAAGGCGUGAAUAAAAAAGAAAAGAUAAUCAAGAGGGCGGCACACGUGUGUUUAGAAAUGUAUACAUUUAAAACAUGAAAGAUUAAAGAUGGAGAAUUAAACACAUGAAAACAGAGGAUAUUUAUUCAUGAAAUAUAUAUUUUAGACAUUGAAGCCAUGUUGACAACGAAAACUUACAGUGCAUCCGGAAAGUAUUCACAGCGCUUCACUUUUCCCACAUUUUGUUAUGUUACAGCCUUAUUCCAAAAUGGAUUAGAUUCAUUAUUUUCCUGAACAUUCUACACACAAUAACCCAUAAUAACAAAGUGAAAACUUUUUUGCAAAUAUGUUAAAAAUAAAGAACGGAAACAUAACAUGUACAUAAGUAUUUACAGCCUUUGCUCAAUACUUUAUUAAGGCUGUAAUUGCUGCCAAAGGUGCUUCCAGUCUUCUUGGGUAUGAUUCCACAAGCGUGGCACACCUAUUUCUGGGCAGUUUCUCCCAUUCUUCUUUGUAGAACCUCUCAAGUUCCAUCAGGUUGGAUGGGGAGCGUCGGUGCACAGCCAUUUUCAGAUCUCUCCAGAGAUGUUCAAUGGGGUUCAAGUCAGGGCUAUGGCU